GCCUCUCCAUAAAAAGUGUCCUUCUUGUCCACAAGAGGUGCACAGAUACAGGAAUGAAGUAUCUGUGCACCUCAAACUUGAACCAGGACUGCAUUGAGGUUAUUUUUCCCAACACUACCACCCUGACAACAGAGAUUGAGGAUGAAGAACCAGUGGUAUCGGACAUUGUGGAAGAUCAGACUGUUGGCGAUUGCAUCCAGGAGGAGGGCCUGUUCUACGUUGCUGGCUGGCUUGUCCGGGUCCUUCAAAAGGAGGAAAUUGUUCAGGCCUGUCCACACUGUGAGGUGCUGCUGUUGGGUGCCAGAGCAGGACCACAGCUAUGCCACAAGUGAGGACCACCCCUUCCUGGAGGCAAAAAAAUACACGGCAACGGCAAACCUAAUGAGGCCUUUGGAAGGGUUUUUCGCUGCCAUCCAGCUUUUGGAAGGGGAAUUUGGAUGGAACAUCGACGCUUUCUGGUAUCUCUCUA
ensembl:lncRNA